UACGGAGGGUGCAAGCGUUAUCCGGAUUCACUGGGUUUAAAGGGUGCGUAGGUGGGUCUGUAAGUCAGUGGUGAAAUCUCCGAGCUUAACUUGGAAACUGCCAUUGAUACUAUAGAUCUUGAAUACCGUGGAGGUCAGCGGAAUAUGUCAUGUAGCGGUGAAAUGCUUAGAUAUGACAUAGAACACCAAUUGCGAAGGCAGCUGGCUACACGAAUAUUGACACUGAUGCACGAAAGCGUGGGGAGCGAACCGG
rnacentral:rRNA from 1 species